AGUGAACGCUGGCUGCGUGCUUAACACAUGCAAGUCGAACGAGAACGGAAUAUAGCCUGCUAUAUUUGUCAGCUAAGUGGCGCACGGGUGAGUAAUGUAUAGAUAACCUGCCCUUAAGACAGGAAUAACAGUUGGAAACGACUGCUAAUGCCCUAUAUGCCUUUAAUACAUAAGUAUGCCAUGAAAACGCUUUAGUGCUUAAGGAUGGGUCUGUAUGGUAUUAGCUUGUUGGUGAGGUAAUGGCUCGCCAAGGCUAUGAAGCCUAACUGGUUUUGGAAGAUGAUCAGUCUCAAAAGAACUGAGACACGCUCCAGACUCCUACGGGAGGCAGCAGUGGGGAAUAUUGCACAAUGGACUAAAGUCUGAUGCAGCAGCGCCACGUGGAGGAUGACACAUUUCUGUGCGUAAACUCCUUUUAUAUAGGAAGAUAAUGACUGUACUAUAUGAAUAAGCACCGGCUAACUCCGUGCCAGCAGCCGCAGUAAUAC
rnacentral:rRNA from 1 species